rnacentral:rRNA from 1 species
AACGAACGCUGGCGGCAUGCCUAACACAUGCAAGUCGAACGAGACCUUCGGGUCUAGUGGCGCACGGGUGCGUAACGCGUGGGAAUCUGCCCUUGGGUUCGGAACAACAGUUAGAAAUGACUGCUAAUACCGGAUGAUGUCGCAAGACCAAAGAUUUAUCGGCAAAGGAUGAACCCGCGUAGGAUUAGCUUGUUGGUGAGGUAAAGGCUCACCAAGGCGACGAUCCUUAGCUGGUCUGAGAGGAUGAUCAGCCACACUGGGACUGAGACACGGCCCAGACUCCUACGGGAGGCAGCAGUGGGGAAUAUUGGACAAUGGGCGAAAGCCUGAUCCAGCAAUGCCGCGUGAGUGAUGAAGGCCUUAGGGUUGUAAAGCUCUUUUACCCGGGAUGAUAAUGACAGUACCGGGAGAAUAAGCUCCGGCUAACUCCGUGCCAGCCGCCGCCGUAA